rnacentral:rRNA from 1 species
GAUGAACGCUGGCGGCGUGCCUAAUACAUGCAAGUAGAGCGAACAGACGAGGAGCUUGCUCCUCUGACGUUAGCGGCGGACGGGUGAGUAACACGUGGAUAACCUACCUAUAAGACUGGGAUAACUUCGGGAAACCGGAGCUAAUACCGGAUAAUAUAUUGAGCCGCAUGGUUCAAUAGUAAAAGACGGUUUUGCUGUCACAUAUAGAUGGCUCCGCUCCGCUUUAGCUAUUUGGUAAGGUACGGGCUUACCAAGGCAACGAUGCGUAGCCGACCUAGGAGGGUGAUCGGCCACACUGGAACUGAGACACGGUCCAGACUCCUACGGGAGGCAGCAGUAGGGAAUCUUCCGCAAUGGGCGAAAGCCUGACGGAGCAACGCCGCGUGAGUGAUGAAGGUCUUCGGAUCGUAAAACUCUGUUAUUAGGGAAGAACAAAUGUGUAAGUAACUAUGCACGUCUUGACGGUACCUAAUCAGAAAGCCACGGCUAACUACGUG